GUUAAAGUGGCAGAGCCCGGACAUUGCAAAAGACCUAAGCUCUUUCCACAGGGGUUCAAAUCCUCUCUUCAACU
rnacentral:tRNA from 1 species